AUUGAACGCUGGCGGAAUGCUUUACACAUGCAAGUCGAACGGCAGCACGGACCUCGGUCUGGUGGCGAGUGGCGAACGGGUGAGUAAUAUAUCGGAACGUGCCCAGUCGUGGGGGAUAACGUAGUGAAAAUUACGCUAAUACCGCAUACGAUCUAUGGAUGAAAGCGGGGGAUCGCAAGACCUCGCGCGAUUGGAGCGGCCGAUAUCAGAUUAGGUAGUUGGUGAGGUAAAGGCUCACCAAGCCGACGAUCUGUAGCUGGUCUGAGAGGACGACCAGCCACACUGGAACUGAGACAAGGUCCAGACUCCUACGGGAGGCAGCAGUGGGGAAUUUUGGACAAUGGACGCAAGUCUGAUCCAGCCAUUCCGCGUGCAGGACGAAGGCCUUCGGGUUGUAAACUGCUUUUGUACAGAACGAAAAGGUCUCUAUUAAUACUAGGGGCUCAUGACGGUACUGUAAGAAUAAGCACCGGCUAACUACGUGCCAGCAGCCGCGGUAA
rnacentral:rRNA from 1 species